UUGUCUUCACAGAGCAGCUUCCUGUGUACCUCCAGGACCGGAAGUUUCUCUACCCUCCAAACCUCUCUUGAGUGCUGAGACUUCAGUCUGACUUGCAGCUGCUGCUUUGAUUUGCCGAGAUAGCAUCUGAGUCCUGAGUCGCUUUACUGGUUACAAGUUAAAAGUCUGCGGUUCAAACAAAAAACCUGGGUGUCUGAGAAGAACAUCGAUCUGCGGGCAGAGAGCAACUGGCCUGGUGUCGG
rnacentral:lncRNA from 1 species